AGACAAAGCCUGGGCGUCCUGCCACUGGAGCCUGCAAGGUCCCUGCUCUGUCCUUCACGCGGCACUUCGGGCGCAACUGUUCCCACUUCCUGUCUGCCCUUCUGCCUUUGCGCCCUGAAGCCCCCUGCCCGCUGCUGCCCCUUGCUCCACAGGCGGGACAGACACUCCUCGGCUGCCCCUGCUCCACCCCUGGCAUCUCCUCCUCCUGCGUGGCCUCCUCUCUCCCCAGAUGCCCGGCUCUGCUUGGAACCCCCUGCGGUUUCCCCAGCGUGCGGCACGGCUGGCUCUUGGUAAACGUUUGCGAUGGGAGGCAAGAAGCCAGGAGCAUGGGAGGCCCUGGGAAGACUAGGGCAGCCACACACGCCGGGAAAUAGCAGCGUACUCACUCCAACCAGGACCCAGACUCUGUCCGGACCCCAACUGCGCCCUUUCGGAGUCACAGCUCCGGGGUGACCUGGACCAUCAGCCCCGACCAGCCCGGGCCCCUCCCCUCUGAGCUCCUGGCAGCUUGGCGGGCAGCACAUCCGCUGGAUUUACUGCAUCCACUUUGGAACAAAUGGACUUCUUCCAUAUUUAUAUCACAGAAUAAACAGAGAUCUUCUGAUCAAAGGCCGCCCGGCCCUGGAGAUGGUAAAGCAGUGGUCUCCUAACCGAGUCACGCCGCACGUCGGGGAGAGUAGCCCUGCCCACGCUCGGCACGUGAUCCGGCCUGGUGGCCGUCGGCACAUUCUGCCAAAGAAGGAAACUUCACACCCUCUGGGGCAGGUGCUCCCCGCACCAGAACACACUGAGCAAGAGCCCCUGGCAGAGUCGGCCGGGCCCGGAGCCCUCAGAACAGCCCACGAGAAGCCCUCCCUUCGGGUCCCGGACACCCCCAUUUGGGUCCCUCUCCCACAGUCUGUGGAAGGUCUGAUCUGAACGCACAGCCGGACCUCUGGGCCUCAGACCUGGCCUGAACAUCUAGGGCUGUGCUGCUGCUGCUGCCGGAACAAGUCACCACAAACUCAUCAGCUCACAGCACGAGGAGGUUCUCUCUGCUGCGGAGGAAAGGCGUCCAAAACGGGGCUCACUGAGCUGAAGUCAGGGGGUCACACAGCUGGUUCCUUCUGGAGGCUCUGAGGGAGAAUCUGUCUCCUUCCUUUUCCAGCUGUCAGAGGCGCUCGCGUCCCUUGGCCCACGGCCCCGCGUCAACGUGACCUUCACUCCUGGUCAUAUGCUCUGACGGGGACCCUCCUCUUCCCCUCUGCCCCCCACAGGGACGUGGUGAUGACACCAGGUCCCCCCUGACCCAGGGUGAUGUCAUCUCCGGAGCUCUGCCUUCGCUGCACCUGCAGAGUCCCUUUGAGGGGAGGCUGGGCUGCUGACCCGGGGGGGGCCUCCCCGGCAUCGGCGCGCGGGCGGGCUCUCCGGGGGCCCUUGCUCUGUCCGCCACGCUGCCUUCUCCACGGGCUGCAAGAAGAAAGACACUCUGCUUUCAGGCCUGUGUUCCACCAGAGUCUGACUUUUUACGUCACUGCUUCUGUCCAUCUUGUCCUUUGUGGAUGUGAAAAUCUUUCCUACACCAGAAUGCAGACAGUCUGUGCUCUUCCAGUGCUUUCUGUUUGGCCAUUCUCCUAUUCAGUCCACAUAAGCUUUAUUUUGUACAUGAAGUAGGGCUCUAGCUUUAUUUUCCAAAACUAAAUUAACUGUACCAACAAUAUGGAGUUCCCAUCAUGGCUCAGCGAGUGAAGGACCCAGCAGAGUCUCUGUGAGGAUGCAGGUUCAGCCCCCGGCCUUGCUCAGUGGGUUAAGGAUCCCGCGUUGCUGUGGCUGUGGUGUAGCCCAGGAGCUGCAGCUCUGAUUCGACCCCCAGGCUGGGAACCUCCAUAUGCCGCAGGUGCAGCCCUAAAAAAUAAAAAAAAAAA
rnacentral:lncRNA from 1 species